GAUGAAGAACGUAGCGAAAUGCGAUAAGUAGUGUGAAUUGCAGAAUUUAGUGAAUCAUCGAAUCUUUGAACGCACAUUGCGCCCUUUGGUAUUCCUUAGGGCAUGCCUGUUCGAGCGUCAUCUAAACCCUCAAGCUCAGCUUGGUGUUGGGCGCCUGUCCCCCCCCUCUCGGGCGGGGACUCGCCUCAAAUGCAUUGGCGGCCGGUACCUUGGCUUCGAGCGCAGCAGAAACGCGGACUCGGGGCCUCGGGAUCAGCUCCCAGAAGCUAACUCCAUCUUUUGACCUCGGAUCAGGUAGGGAUACCAGCUGAACUUAAGCAUAUCAAUAAGCGGAGGA
rnacentral:misc_RNA from 1 species